rnacentral:rRNA from 1 species
UACGAAGGGGGCUAGCGUUGCUCGGAAUCACUGGGCGUAAAGGGCGCGUAGGCGGCCAUUCAAGUCAGGGGUGAAAGCCUGUGGCUCAACCACAGAAUUGCCUUUGAUACUGUUUGGCUAGAGACCGGAAGAGGUAAGUGGAACUGCGAGUGUAGAGGUGAAAUUCGUAGAUAUUCGGAAGAACACCAGUGGCGAAGGCGACUAACUGGACACGUAUUGACGCUGAGGUACGAAAGCGUGGGGAGCAAACAGG